CCGCCGGAACGCCGGCGCACGGGUGAGUAACACGUAUGCAACCUGGCCGUGACAGAUGGAUAACCGGGAGAAAUCCCGCCUAAUACAACAUAAUGCCGGGAGGGGACAUCCCCUGCCGGCCAAAGGGGGCGACCCCGGUCACGGAUGGGCAUGCGGCGCAUUAGGUAGUUGGUGGGGCAACGGCCCACCAAGCCGACGAUGCGUAGGGGUUCUGAGAGGAAGGUCCCCCACAUUGGAACUGAGACACGGUCCAAACUCCUACGGGAGGCAGCAG
rnacentral:rRNA from 1 species